ACGUAGGCACCAAGCGUUAUCCGGAUUUAUUGGGCGUAAAGAGCUCGUAGGCGGUUCGGUAAGUCGGGUGUGAAAACUCAAGGCUCAACCUUGAGAGGCCACCCGAUACUGCUGUGACUCGAGUGCGGUAGGGGAGCGGGGAAUUCCUGGUGUAGCGGUGAAAUGCGCAGAUAUCAGGAGGAACACCAGUGGCGAAGGCGCCGCUCUGGGCCGUAACUGACGCUGAGGAGCGAAAGCGUGGGUAGCAAACAGG
rnacentral:rRNA from 1 species